CCAUGGGAGUUCUCAAAUUGAAUUUUGAUACAUCCGUGUCUUUAGAAGGGGUGGCAGUGGCUUGUGUUAUUCGAAAUCAUUUGGGAUAUCUGCUAAGAGCUGUAGGAAAGAAAUUACCAUUUUGUUUUGUUGUACUUGUUGAAAUGACUGCAGCAUGGCUUGGAGUUAGAGUAGCAUUGUGUGAGAUGAAUAUUCAGCAACUUAUAGUAGAAG
rnacentral:lncRNA from 1 species